rnacentral:lncRNA from 1 species
CUCUCCCUCCCUCCUCUCUCAAUUUCUCUGAUGAAAACUAUGAUAUGUAUAGUCAUCAACGCAUCACUAGAAAUGGUGUCCGAGUCAACGGAGGUUAUGAGUCCGAAUGCUCACAGCUGUCAAAGCUCAUAUCUACAGAAAUACAAUUAAAAACAAGAAAAACAGGUGCGAUCUUUCCAAUAUAUAAAAUUUCAUGAUUAUGGUUGUGUGAUUAUUUAUGAAUUCACGGUAUAUAUUAUUAUAGUUUGGCUCAUCACUCAUUUUUCAUGAUUAAGUAUAUUGAUGUAAUGUGCUUGAAUCUUUUAGUGUAUGUGUUGUUUUGUAUCCUCUUUUGUCAUUUUUUAUUCUGUUUUGUCUGAAUUGGAGGAGAUUGGGUAUAUGUAACCAUUUUUAUAUUAUAUGAUUAGUUACUUUUUGAUUCUCGAUUCUUUUCGAUUCUUAGUUUUCGCUAGUGUCCAUGAUGAAUGUUUGUAGUUUUCCGGUUCUUGCACGGUGACGACGGAGGUGGUGUAGUGGCGACCUAAUUAGCGGGUGUUUUGAUAUUAGAUUAUUCUGAUUGACUUAGUUUGUUGCAUUAUUUUAGUUUAGAUUUGAAAAUUUGGCUUUAUUUGAUUUUAAUAGUAGUAAAUGUUAAUCUUAAUUUCAGUUUUGUAAAUGGCAAGUUGACUCUUUUAAUUUAUUUGGUUUUGAAAUUUGAAUUUUCUCUUCAUGCUUUAAUUUCAACUUUUAUGUAUUCAUUAGAAGAUUAAUUAAAAUAUUCGGAUUUUGAAUCUGGUAAAUGAAUGCAUUUAAAUCUAUUUGCACCAUUUAUGGGUGAUUUGAAUUUUGAAUCUUGUAAAUGAAUGCAUUUAAAUUUAUGUACCAUAUAUGGGUGGCCAUGAUUGAUGGCGUAAAUUCUUGGCCUAGUAGGGGCAAUUUGGUGCCACUUUGUUGGCUUAUUUAUUAUAUUUAACUUGUUAUCUAAAAUUUAAAUAUCAUUUUGAAUAUCAAAGUUAUAUUUUUAUAUUUAUAUUUUAGUUCUUAUUAAUUAUUUAAUUAUAUUCUUAGUAAUUAUUCAGCUUGUUAUAUAUCUAGCCAAAGGGUCUCCCUUUGGUUAGAUAUAUUUUGUUUUUAUAUUUAUCUUCUAUUUUUGACAGAUUAUUUUAUAUUUAUUAUUUCAUCCAACUACUUUUUUUGACGAACUAUACUAUUUUAAUAAUUAAUUUAUAAUUACUUUUCAUGUUAUUAAUGGAUUGUUUUUGUUUCAGGUAGCAUGAUCAUACAAGAUGGGACGUUUCUCUUUUCGGACAUUAAGUAUUAUUGUCUAAACUUCCGGAGACAUUUUCAUGUCUUUCGGUUAGAUAAUAAGCUUUUUGAAUGAAAGAAACUCCUCGGAGUAUUGUUGUAUCUCGUUGCGGGAA